UACGUAGGUGGCAAGCGUUAUCCGGAAUUAUUGGGCGUAAAGCGAGCGCAGGCGGUUUUUUAAGUCUGAUGUGAAAGCCUUCGGCUCAACCGAAGAAGUGCAUCGGAAACUGGGGAACUUGAGUGCAGAAGAGGACAGUGGAACUCCAUGUGUAGCGGUGAAAUGCGUAGAUAUAUGGAAGAACACCAGUGGCGAAGGCGGCUGUCUGGUCUGUAACUGACGCUGAGGCUCGAAAGUAUGGGUAGCAAACAGG
rnacentral:rRNA from 1 species